CCCUCAUUAUGUGACUGCACAAACAUCUGGAAGAAGGGAGAGAGAAAUGCCAGGGGCAGUAAGUAGGCACAGGUGAAGACUGAAAGGUGAUGACCAUGACCCUAGAAAAAGUUUUGAGAAAACAACCUCAUUACGAGACGUACCUUGCAAUAGAUGUUUGUUUAAGUGGAAAUCCACCAGAGCAGCUGCCCAGUGCAACGGUACAUAUUUGCUUCUGAAUCCUUUCUCAAAGGCACUAUUUAAACAUGUUGAUGAACUGGGCUGGAUUUAUCCCCACCUCCAUUCCAGCAAAACAAGGAGACUCAGAAGAUAAAAUUUGUUUUGUUAUUGCAAGUAGUGCUCCAUGGUGCAGCAUUAAAUAAGAGAUGUGAACUCACCAUAGCAACUCCUGCAUCACAUUGCAGAUAUGCUGCUUCUAAGAUACGGCAAAUGUUUCUGAAGAAAUGUACCUGAAUUUGAGGCCUCCUUCUGGUGUCUCUCCACAAAUACUACUGUUCACCACAAGAGCUCCAACGGAAUUAUAUGAAUUCAUCCAAAGUGGGAAAUAGGUUUUCUGCUGAACUGUUUUGCAGCUCAAUUUUAAAUUUACAACUGUUUUCCCUUUAGUAUCUAUUCAGUUUGAAUUUUAUUCUCUAAUAUGUGUUUGUAUUGUUUGACCUUACUUAGACUGAAUUUGCAUCCUAUACAUGAGCGAAAUGUCUUGUUUGUUUGUUUGUUUGCUUGUUCAUUUAAAUGUUUAAUCCUUUUAGUGAGUCUCCUAUAGCUGAUAAAAUCUUUUCCUGUGUUGAGUUUAAUUUUGGCGCUUUUACUUUGGAGGCCUUUUCUUUAAUGCAUCCAGUAUUACUUAUAUCUUAAUAAAAGCUUUUAGAUUGCUACUGAUGCAUCACCAACUUCAUCUUGACCAAAAUUCUUGCUAGCAUGCCUGUUUAUAUGGAUCAAAAAAGCAAGAUUUUCAUGAUGUCUGGUGGGUUAGCAUGCCUGCUGCAAGGCAGCUUUUGCAGUCAGUUCUUCCAUGUACUUUACCCAACAAUCCAUAACAGCCUGCUUCUGGAAGGAGAAGUAAGUAAUCACAACUGCUUUGAUCUUUUUUUGAUAUCAAUUAACUGUAAUUUCUCUUCCCAGAUCUCACUUGUACAGGGGAUCACACAUUUUCUCACAUCAUCUAAGAUUGAUUAAGAAGAUUAAUAAUAUUCUUUUUUUUCUUUUUCUUUCUUCUCUUUUUCUUUCUCCUGCAUUUAUUUCUGUAGGUUCUUCUGUUACUGCUAGCGAGUUUUCCUGGGAGACACAUGAAACAUUUUUAAUCAGUUGGUUAUGUGCUCAAGGGCUAAAGGCUUCUUUCCCCUCUGUUUUCUAGCCCAUGGGGACUAAGUGGAGGAGGAGGAGACAGAGCAGAUUGCUAGUUCUACUAAGUUACUACUCAUAUAAAGGCUUAUCUGGUUAUCUUUUCUUGCUUCUUCUCCUAAGACUACUUUAGCCUCCUUGCACUAAAAAAACUAACUAAUUUGUUAGUGAACAGGAUAUCUGAAGACAUCUACUCUUUUUCUGGAGAAAAGAUUACACAGGGUGUUGUUCAAAAUAGUGGCUCACAGUGGAUACAAAAAUGCUUUGCAUUUGUGAUUGUUGAUGGCCAACAUGGCCAACACAGUAAGAUGAACCAUAAUGUACCUAGAUGCCAAUUGUCAAUAGAAACACAGAGCAUUAUACCUACAGAUUUCUUCUACAGAAUAUCACAAAACUAAUAAAAACUAAGAGUGUUGCAUGAAUUGUCUGUGGGCUUUACCUCUGAAUUUUUAUCCAAUGUAAUCAACAGUAGCACUUGCUUUCUACACUUCAUGGAAGAAAGCACUGUACUUCAUGAAAAACAUCAACAACACCUGGGCACUGAAAUAUUGCUUCAGCUCCAACGUCAGUUGAAGGCCAAAUGAGAGAUCUCUGCAACCCCACAAUCUCUGCAAUCUCUGCAAAAGAUGUUACUGCAAAAUAUGCUGAAUUCCGCCAUGCUGAUGGAGUGCCUACCUUCCUUUGGGAACUUGGCAUCCCAGUAGGACCCAGACGCAGGACCUAAUGCUCUCCAGCCAUGGACCCAUGAUGGGAGAGAGGCUCCUCCUUGCUCAGCACAGGGCAAAGAAGUGUGGACAUAGCACAGCCUUUUUAAAAUCUGCAAUUUAAUGGGACCUGGACAGAAGUGAACACAUUUACAGUAAACAUAUCAUCUCUUUUUACCUCUGAGAUCAAUGUAAUUUAUGUAUUAUGGCAUCUGUUAUGUAAGAUCUGUUGCAAGAACUUGUGAUAUCUGAUGGAUAAGGGGCAAAGACUAAGUCUAAUUUUGAAUAUUCGAGGUUUAGUGCAUUCUGUGGUAACCUUCUCCCAGGUUUAUUGCUCUGCUUAUACAAUUGCAGAUGAUCUCUUUCUUAGAUUCAUGGCAAAGGGGUAGUCACUAAUUGCCCUGAGGCUUCAAGCUCUGUAUGUUAGUAACUGUACAGGUGUAAUCAAAGGAUACUCCUUAGGUCUAAGUGCCAAAAUUCAAAUGCUUACAGACCAAUGUCCUUUUGAUUAGGAUGAACUGCACCUUUACCUCAUUAGAGGCAAUCUUUGCAUUAUAUGAGUUGUGAGUCAUCUAAAUUAGAACGAUCCUCAGAAUCAAAAUUCUCUCCUUAGCUUGAUUUUUAAUAUUCAUAUUACAUCAGUGCCCAUUUUGACAUCAUACAAACUAGUUAGUGAUCAGCAAGCUUAAUCCGGUUCAUUUGAUUCACAUGAGUUGUCUCAUGGGAGUUAACUGAAGCACUAAUAAGAAUGAUAUAAACAGGGUUACUUAAUUCUUGCCUAGACAACGUUAGAUCGUUUGAUUAGAUUCUUUUAUUCCCUUCAAGGCCACCAAAAGAACAAAUUAACAAAGACUUACAAAUAUCUAGUUUGAUCUACAAUCAAAUUUACAAACCACAUACAUUUCAAGGGAGAAAAAUAAAAAGGCUUUUUAACAUGAAGAGCUUAGUGCUCUUAAUGACAGAAUGAGGACAGAAAAAUACUAGUAGAUUAGUAUAAUUAAUUAGGCAACUUAAAAAAAUAUGAAAAUUGCAUUCAUAAGGGAGUAAAUUCUGCAUAUUAAUUGAAUAUUUUGCAUGUAUUAUUUGC